CAGUCUCCUUGCACCAACAGCUCCACCUUCUGUGGAGUCAUCAAUCCUGAUGACCUUUGUCCAAGUCAAUGCAUCUUAUUGAGAAGCAUUGGGGAUCCAUGGCACUUGCAAUGCCCUGUCAAUCUGAUACUUCUUAUAGAAAAGCAUUGACUCUUGAGAUCGCCGAUGUUAUAGAGUCUUCUUAUAGAGAAGCAUUGCAUGUGUUCUGUGUAAUCCUGUUGUGUGUAAUGACACCAAACAUGAAAACCUUUGAAUGUCUUGAGGAAGAAAGGUCUUUGAUAGCGGUCUGCGUGAUAGAGGCGUGUUCUUUGACAAAUGUAAAUAUUGCCUUUUCUCAAAAAUCAAUAGGGUUUAUGCACCAAACCAUUAAAUUGAGACAUUAUGAAUUUGGUUAUUGCAGUGUCCCGAUGUCCUGCAAAAGAGCCAAAAAGUAGCUGCCACUAAGCUUUCAAUGGUACAUAUCCCUGUAGAAAUGCAUCAUAUGGGCUUUCCCUUCAUGGAUGUAUGUUGGUGCUCCUGUGGACUUACUACCACAUGUGGUUUUCAUAUCCCAAGGUAAUCCCUUUCAAUGUGAGUGUGUGCCCCACUUACAAGACAUCUUUCACAGACUUUUUGACCUUGACCCUUGGGCAUUUUUAUUGUCACACACUAUAGAGGGUUUAACUAUACAACAACAGAUGCUAUUCAGAUUGCACUAGCUCCUCAAAG